CGGCGGCCAUAGCGAGAGGGAAACGCCCGGUCACAUUCCGAACCCGGAAGCUAAGACUCUCAGCGCCGAUGGUACUGCAGGGGGGACCCUGUGGGAGAGUAGGUCACCGCC
rnacentral:rRNA from 1 species